CAUUUUAAACGAAUAUUUUAAUUGUAAAAAAACAUUUUAGUAAGUAUAGCAUUUAUUUGAAAAAAAAAAAAGGAAAAUAGAAAAACGAAGUGUAAAUUACUAGAAUCUCCCUGGUUGGAGCUAGGGUUAAGUUUACCUCCCUAUAAAUAGAAGAAGAGGCCACAUUUGCAUUGUGAAAGCGGCAUAAAGAGAGAGCGCCGACGGCGAAAUCUGAGCAAGCAUGAGGGCCAAGUGGAAGAAGAAGCGUAUGAGGAGACUGAAGAGGAAGCGCCGAAAGAUGAGACAGAGAUCUAAGUAGAGCAGGGAUCCCAGAUGCCUUGGGAUGGUUUCUUGGUUGAAACCUGCUGCUUUUACUAUUGCUGUCCAUCUCCGUAGCAGCUCCGAAGAAUGGAGAUUGUCCAUUGUUUGAAGCUGCAUUAGUUAAUCUACUAUGUUCUAUUAAGGAGCUUAGUUUUAGUUUUGAGUAUUGCUAGUAAGGCUGUUGAUUUGUGUUUUUGAGGUAACUUACUAGUUUUGUCAUCCAAAGAUGUUUUCUCUUGAACCUUUUCUCUUUUAAGCUGACUUUAUUGAGAUCUCUGUUUGCCUGGGCUGCAUUUCAUUUGAAUAAAAUUAUGGCUAUGAAUGUUGGUA